rnacentral:lncRNA from 1 species
GCUUCUCUGCUCAGUUCUCACGCAGUUCUAACCUUUGACGACAAAAUACACAUGACACGCUGCUACUUCUUUAAUUAUUUAUACCGUGCCAUUGAUUACAUUAACAUCAUCAUCAUCAAAUCACAACUUCAUUCAUUACAUUCAUACAUCAUCAAAUCGCAACUUCAUUGCUGCCACCCGUACUGUUGAUUCCGGUUUCCACCCAUCAUGUUAGACCCACGUCCAGCACCAGAACUUCCAUAGGGCCCACCUUGCGAGUAAUUGGGAGCUCCAACUCCAUAACCGCUACCCCCAC